AACGCUAGCUACAGGCUUAACACAUGCAAGUCGAGGGGAAACGACAUCGAAAGCUUGCUUUUGAUGGGCGUCGACCGGCGCACGGGUGAGUAACGCGUAUCCAACCUGCCCACCACUUGGGGAUAACCUUGCGAAAGUAAGACUAAUACCCAAUGACGUCUCUAGAAGACAUCUGAAGGAGAUUAAAGAUUUAUCGGUGAUGGAUGGGGAUGCGUCUGAUUAGCUUGUUGGCGGGGUAACGGCCCACCAAGGCGACGAUCAGUAGGGGUUCUGAGAGGAAGGUCCCCCACAUUGGAACUGAGACACGGUCCAAACUCCUACGGGAGGCAGCAGUGAGGAAUAUUGGUCAAUGGACGAGAGUCUGAACCAGCCAAGUAGCGUGCAGGAUGACGGCCCUAUGGGUUGUAAACUGCUUUUAUAAGGGAAUAAAGUGAGUCUCGUGAGACUUUUUGCAUGUACCUUAUGAAUAAGGACCGGCUAAUUCCGUGCCAGCAGCCGCGGUAAUACGGAAGGUCCGGGCGUUAUCCGGAUUUAUUGGGUUUAAAGGGAGCGUAGGCCGGAGAUUAAGCGUGUUGUGAAAUGUAGACGCUCAACGUCUGCACUGCAGCGCGAACUGGUUUCCUUGAGUACGCACAAAGUGGGCGGAAUUCGUGGUGUAGCGGUGAAAUGCUUAGAUAUCACGAAGAACUCCGAUUG
rnacentral:rRNA from 1 species